CGGCCUCAGGUUAACUUCAAGCAUGUUGGGCUCUCCAGGAGGGAGAAGAGGCACCUUUGCUGUGGGUUGAGGACUCCUAGAACCAACCUGAGACUCCGCGGCCAUAUACACCUUACGACGUGUGUGUGUGUGUGGCGGGGGAUGGGAGGGGAGGAAUCCUGUAGAACCCAGAUCCCAUCAUUCCAGCAACUGCCAGAGCGUUCGAGAAUGUCAUGUCUGUACCUGUCUUCUCUCAUCUUUUGUGCCAACUGUUUUAUCAAACUUCUACCCCACUUUAGGUCUUCCAGAGUACAACACAAAUAUACUGCCCAGGUUCUAAAACAUGUAUAAGAGUUAACAAAAUCAGCUGAGGUUGAGCAGAAAUUGUAUAGGAAAAAAUAGGAAAAACACAGGGACCAAUCUCAGCUGCAAGAAGGUUCAGCUAGACACUGCAAGCAAAAGUAUAACUCCUGAAGGUCACUUUGAGAAGAUGAGGUAUCAACAGCCACUACUAUUAGGCAAGGUACAAGUAUCACAACACUAGUGCCAUCUGAGAAUCCAUGUCAACCCUUAGCUAAGGAAGUAGCUCCCAACCUGGAGAUCUCUGGGUCCUUGAGGACUCUUAAAGUAGUUAUGGAGCUCAUUGAACUAUUUUCAACAUUUCAAAAAGAUAUCACGUAGCAAUUGUACAUCCAUCCUUAAUAAAACUGCACAAGCAAACUGAAA
rnacentral:antisense_RNA from 1 species